rnacentral:rRNA from 1 species
UGGGGAAUAUUGCACAAUGGGCGAAAGCCUGAUGCAGCAACGCCGCGUGAGUGAUGAAGGCCUUCGGGUUGUAAAGCACUUUUGUCCGGAAAGAAAUCCUUGGCUCUAAUACAGUCGGGGGAUGACGGUACCGGAAGAAUAAGCACCGGCUAACUACGUGCCAGCAGCCGCGGUAAUACGUAGGGUGCAAGCGUUAAUCGGAAUUACUGGGCGUAAAGCGUGCGCAGGCGGUUUGCUAAGACCGAUGUGAAAUCCCCGGGCUCAACCUGGGAACUGCAUUGGUGACUGGCAGGCUAGAGUAUGGCAGAGGGGGGUAGAAUUCCACGUGUAGCAGUGAAAUGCGUAGAGAUGUGGAGGAAUACCGAUGGCGAAGGCAGCCCCCUGGGCCAAUACUGACGCUCAUGCACGAAAGCGUGGGGAGCAAACAGGAUUAGAUACCCUGGUAGUCCACGCCCUAAACGAUGUCAACUAGUUGUUGGGGAUUCAUUUCCUUAGUAACGUAGCUAACGCGUGAAGUUGACCGCCUGGGAGUACGUCGCAAGAUUAAAACUCAAAGGAUUGACGGGGCUCAUAGCUGUUUCCUG